rnacentral:misc_RNA from 1 species
GAUGAAGAACGUAGCGAAAUGCGAUAAGUAAUGUGAAUUGCAGAAUUCAGUGAAUCAUCGAAUCUUUGAACGCACAUUGCGCCCGCCAGUAUUCUGGCGGGCAUGCCUGUUCGAGCGUCAUUUCAACCCUCAAGCCCAGCUUGGUGUUGGGGAUCGGCACAGGCGCCCUCGGGCGCCCGCCGUCCCCUAAAUCUAGUGGCGGUCCCGCUGCAGUCUCCUCUGCGUAGUAGUUUUCUCCUCGCAAGGGCAGCUCGGUGGCGACCUCGCCGUAAAACCCCCAACUUCUGAAAGGUUGACCUCGAAUCAGGUAGGAAUACCCGCUGAACUUAAGCAUAUCAAUAAGCGGAGGA